GACGAACGCUGGCGGCGUGCUUAACACAUGCAAGUCGAACGGUGAAGCGCCUUCCUUUUUGGUGGGUGUGGAUGAGUGGCGAACGGGUGAGUAACACGUUAGUAACCUGCCCCCUUCUUCUGGAUAACCGCAUGAAAGUGUGGCUAAUACGGGAUAUUCUGGGUCUGUCGCAUGAUGGGUCUGGGAAAGAUCUUGUUUCGGUGGGGGAUGGGCUCGCGGCCUAUCAGCUUGUUGGUGGGGUGAUGGCCUACCAAGGCGGUGACGGGUAGCCGGCCUGAGAGGGUGGACGGUCACACUGGGACUGAGACACGGCCCAGACUCCGACGGGAGGCAGCAGUGGGGAAUAGUGCACAAUGGGCGCAAGCCUGAUGCAGCGACGCCGCGUGAGGGAUGGAGGCCUUCGGGUUGUGAACCUCUUUCGCCAGUGAAGCAGGCCUGCCUCGUUUGUGGGUGGGUUGACGGUAGCUGGAUAAGAAGCGCCGGCUAACUACGUG
rnacentral:rRNA from 1 species